GAUGAACGCUGGCGGCGUGCCUAAUACAUGCGAGUCGAGCGAACGGACGAGAAGCUUGCUUCUCUGAUGUUAGCGGCGGACGGGUGAGUAACACGUGGAUAACCUACCUAUAAGACUGGGAUAACUUCGGGAAACCGGAGCUAAUACCGGAUAAUAUUUUGAACCGCAUGGUUCAAAAGUGAAAGACGGUCUUGCUGUCACUUAUAGAUGGAUCCGCGCUGCAUUAGCUAGUUGGUAAGGUAACGGCUUACCAAGGCAACGAUGCAUAGCCGACCUGAGAGGGUACUGGCCCACCCCGGAACCAGGGAGCGGCCCAAGUCUUUAAGGAGGGCAGGGAAAGGGCAUCUGCCGAAAGGGGCGAAACCCUAGCCGGGGAACGCCCGGCAGGCGAAGAAGGUUUUGGACUCGUAAACCUCUUUUAUUAGGACAUAAACUAUGUAAAAGAAAAUGCAGCAAUGCUGACGGCACCUACACAGAAAGCCACCGCCAACCACGU
rnacentral:rRNA from 1 species